UUUGUCUGCUUUGCAGGAGUUAUCCAUUUUUCAGAUGGUCUUCAGAGAAGAUUUUUUGUGUUUCUUCUUCAAAUGAACCCAGCUGCAGCAAACAGAGCCAGGAGCUCAACCAACAACAUGAAGCAUAGGGAUGGCAGAAAGUAUCCUUCUGUGUCUUUUCAUGGGUAAUCAUCAACAGGAGCACCCAGGUUAAGGUGAGAGCUCUGGGAUCGGCGCAUGUGAUGCCCUGGAGGUGUCUGCAGACCUGCAGACCAGCUGCUGCACCUGGCAGGGAUGCAAGACA